AUUUAUAUAGUUUAAUAAAAACAUUACAUUUUCACUGUAAAAAUAAGGAAUUUCUUUUAUAAAUU
rnacentral:tRNA from 1 species